AGAGUAAUAUAGAGUUUGCUUUUGAUUUUGUAGAUACAAAGACAGAUUCACCACAGAAUUGGAUCAUUAUAACCUUUAUAAGAUGCACAGCAUAAAUUUGGUCGACGUCAAGAGAUAAAUGAAACAAUGAAAAGAGCAAUUCUUCGAGAUCUGCAGAAACUGCUUAAUGACAUCAUGCGCUGGUCAGGCUGUUUAAGAAUACUUUGGAGCGCAUGCCAAAUGAUGACUACAAAGUCAGGAUUCAUCUAGAACACACGCCCGCACACUUAAGCCUCUAACAAUAUAUGGAGUUUCCAUUUUGCUUGUUGGUUAAAACUUGAAAACAUGCGAUAUUAUAUGUCGCGAAACUGGGUAACUGCAACAAAUAUCUGAAACACAUCGUUCAAAUGACACGUUGCAAUACUCGCUGAUGUUUUGGCAAGGUGAAGAAACUUCCAAGAAGGUUAGCUUGAUGAAUUAUUACGCCAACGUCAUUUGAGUCACUACGGAUUGUUAAUGCUAUAGUAUUCCCAACAUAUCGUGCUGCAUGUAAAGAACUAAAUUUACUUUGGAAACGACAACUGAUGAAGCAAUUAUAUCUGCACCUCCAAGUUAGAUACGAACAUUAUGUGCUAUCAUCAUUUCGACAUGCUUUCUAUCGAACCCAUCUAAGCUGUGGCACAAAUACAAGGAUAAUAUGCCAGGAGACAUUUUACAGCAAAUUCGUCUCAGUUCAAGAAAUCCCCACCUUCAGAUGAAUGAGGAGAUACAUAAUCGGGCUUUGUUCUUGAUCGAAGCCAUGUGUUACCUCAUGUUCGGUAAUUUAUUAGUCAUAUUAUGAAUGAAAGCGCCAAAUCAUGAAAUGCAUGAUGCAUUUAAUCGAAAAUUUGAACGGGAAAGUAAAUAUGAUCACCAGGAAUUAGAUUUAAUAAUUCGGACGAAUGUACCUCUGUUGAAUUACCAACAAAAGGAAAUUUCUAAUAUAUUGAUCACGGCCAUUGAUAAUGGAAAUGGUAGUUUAUAUUUCCUGGUAAGACAUUUCUCAUGUCAGUAGUUUUAGCCACUGUUCGUGCGAGAUACAAAAUUGUGGUGGCAGUUAGUUGUUACGAAAUAGCAGCAACAUUGUUAGAAGGAUGCCGUAUCGCUCAUUCAGCAUUAAAAUUACCGUUAAAUCUUCAAACUAUGGAAGAACAAACAUGUACUAUUGCAAAUCCCUCCACAAUGGGCAAAGUUUUAACAGCAUCUGAGACGAAUGCAGUUUAUAAAUGGAAGCAUAAAACGGAACAUUGAAAUAUCUACGCAAUGACUUGAGAUGUUUUGAAGGCGCAAUGAUUUUACGGCCUGGAGAUUUCCGCCAAACACUACCACUAAUACUAAGAUCAACUUAUGCAGAUGAGAUAAACGAUUGCCUCAAAUAAUCGAGUAUAUGGCGUUAUGUGAAGAAAUUGGAGCUGCCAACAAACAUGAAGUUGCACUGAUGAACGAUACAUCUGCUAAAGAUUUCUCUGAGAAAUUACUGAUUAUAGGUAAUGGUCGAUUACCUGUCGACGUAUCUAGCGGAUUGAUUUCAUUUCCACAGAAUUUCUGUAACUUUGCCUCAUCAAAAGAUGAACUGAUUAACAAAAUAUUCCCAAACAUCAUUUCAAACAACAAAAUGAAUGAAUGGUUGAGUUAGCGGGCAAUUUUGACGGCUAAGAACAAAGAUGUAGAUGAUAAUUCAGAAUGAGAUCAUUUGUAGACUGCAUUCUUUCAAAUCAAUUGAUUGUGUAACAAUUGAAAAUGAAGUUACUAACUAUUCAAUUGAAUUUUAAAACUCCUUGGAUAUGCCAGGUUUACCACAGCACAAUUUACGACUAAAGGUUGGCUACAUAGUAACCAUGCUUCAAAGUAUAGACCAACCAAAACAGUACGACGAAACGCGUUUGGUAUUAAGGAACUUGAUGAAUAAUGUGAUUUAUGCGACGAUACUCAAAGGAAAAUUCCAAGGAUCCCGAUGAUCCCAACCGACAUGCCGUUUGAGUUUAAACGACUUCAAACAAACUCCAAGGCCAAUUCUUCUAGAAAGUCAUUGUUUUCCCCAUGGUAAAUUAUAUGUGGCAUGUUCGGGUCGUUAUUUGUUCUUGCACCUGAUAAUAAAACGAAAACUGUCGUCUAUCAUAAGGUGCUUCACUAAAAAGUGGAAUAUACAUACAUAUGUACUAAAAUACAUGAUCCUUAAAAUGCUUGCAUCUUCAAUUUACCUAUAUAUAUUAAUCAAUCGUGAAACCAUUAUCUCUGCAUAUCUAAGUCAAAUAUGGACAACGGCAAGGGACUGAAGACCAUCCCUGUUUCUUGUUAUUGCGCCUGAUAAUUAAACAAAAAAUAUCGCAUAUGACAAGCUAAGGCAAAACAGAAUUCGAUAGGUCCUCCAGUAACUUAAUAAUAUUUUUCCCUGGAAAUUUGUAAGAGUAUAACAUAACUCUAGCAACCUGUUGCUACAGAGUAUAAUAGUUUGUACGUAUCACCUGAAACUAAGUGAUAUAUAUAUAUAUAUAUAUAUCAAUAUAUAUAUUGUUUAAAUGAGUUAAGGAUCCACCCGCUCUUCUCGGUAAAACUGGCGCAUCCUAAUGCAACAGCGCAAUUCACCACACCACACCAACACAACUCAUCACACUUGUUCCCACUCAACAAAAAGGAUGGACAACGGGAUGGGACUCUCAAUUCGCUUUUCACAAGCCGCGCAUCAACAUUCACGCAUUAAAAUUCGCUACAAACAUUCGCACGUUAACAUCCGUCUACUUUUACAAUCUGCACUGCGCCGCGUCAACAUACGUUCCGGUUAUUCGCCGAUCCUGAGUGCUACGUUAGUUCGAUUCAUCAGCACUACGUCAAGUCAUCGAUCCAUCAGUAGCCACCGGGCUGCAUUCGCGGGAGACAUCAUUUCACGGUCCUGAAACUGGACACCGUCUCUUCGACUUGCUGUUGAUAAUCUUUUUACAUACUUAUAUGUAUUUAUAUUCGGCAUUUGUAUUGUGCGUUACAUAUUUUUUUACCUACUAAAUUAAACCGAAUUUAAACAUAAAUUGCGCUUGCAGUUUUUGUAAACACAAAGUGGCGGUGAGUGAAUGAUUUUGGGUCAACUGGUGGGUGCACAUUUAACUAUGGUCCUUCGAGCCCCAAAGAAAGGCACUAUGUGAAAUGCAAAAUUAAAUAAAUAUGGAUACAUAUGCUAGUGUGGUGGCAAAAUAAAAAAAAGAAUAAACAAAGUGCUGUGACCCAAACAGAACAAAAAUAAAAAACAAAACCAAAGUGCAUUUAAAAGACUAAGUUACCAAGCAGUUUAAAAAACAAAAACACGGUGAAGUGACAAAAAUAACAAAUAAUAAACGUUCAAACAUAAGACACAAAACAAAAAAUCAAGUUGGUGACUCGGCAAAAAUAUAUGCAUAUACAUAUGUACAUAUGUAUGCAAUUACCAUAAUUGCGGAGACAAAAACAUAAACUUACAAAAACAAAAUAUAUAAUACUUUACAAACACAAAAAAAAAAACUAAAUUAGGAGCGACCAGUAAAACAAAUAUAGAUAUACACAUACAAACAUCCAUAAAAGUGUAGCGCAAAUCAAUAAAAUUAUAAUGAAAGAGCGGGCGCGAAAUACAAACUAAAAUAAUAUUUUGCGGGCGCGAAUCGAAAAAAAAACCAACAAAAUACAUAACUGCAAAGAACGGCCGCGAAAUAAUCAAACAGAAACUGAAAACAUCAAGCAACAACAAGCACAACAAAGGACUGGAAGAAAAGCCAAAGGCACAAGCACAAGCACACGCACGUACAAAUAUCCAUAUAUGUACAUACCUUCAUAGUUCCCUGCCGGAAAGUGAGUUGUAUCGAUUCCCUUUAAUAUUUAUAUAUUUGCUUAUAUGUAUGUAUGUUUCAAAAGCACAAAAUUAAAUUUGUGUUUCUAACCAAAAUUCCGUUGGUAUACAAACAAAAAAAAAAAAAAUAUCACCAAACUCUUUUAACAAAGAAAAUAGUUUGGUAAUAUAUAUAGCAAAUAAUUGAUGCCGACAAAUGCUUACAGUUGUGUUAAAACACACAAAAUAUUUCCACAGCACAAAAAUAAAAAAGUUCAAGUAUUAACUUGCAAUACGUUUCGACAAUACCCCAUAUAUUUAACAAAACAAUAAGCGGGACUGCAUAAACCAAAUAAGCAAAGGCACAAACAUUAAUCAAAAUUAUAACAUAUGAAACAAAACAAAAAAACACAUACAUACAUAUAUAUAUGCAAAUUUUCUAAUGCGAUACUAUUUAUAUAUUUACAUACAAAAUACAUACAAAGUGCAUACGGGAGAAUAACUGCACAUUCUUCAUUUCGCCUUUGCACUCUCUUCGCAGUGCGAACAUAUAGUACAUAAAGACGGCAAACAAUCACUCGGUGCCAUUAUACCCUACACUGGGUAUUAAUACACAAAAAAUACGUAAUCUUAAAGUAAAAAAAAGGCCGUUUUAAAAUUCACUUAGAACACGGCGGUAAAGUGAAAAAAAAAAAAAUUUCCCCUAAUUUUAUCUUUUUUGUUAAAAACAGAAUACAAAAAGUCAGUAAAACAAAAUCUACAUAAUUUGUGAACACUGUAUAUGCAAACAUACAUACAUAUAUUAAAACAUAUAAAUCUUCAAAGUCCACAUUGGCAUCUAUUCGGCAGUACUUCUUGUUCUUUGGCAAACAAAAACAAGCAGGAUUGCGUACAAAAAGCGAAUUGAUCUCUCUAACGAGCUCUCAAUUGCUUAAGAACAUAACUUAGAAAUACAUACAAACAAUUUGUGCAUGCUAAUGUAAAAAGCGAAUUGAUCUCUUCAACGAGCUCUCAAUAAAUAUAAGUACAUACAUACGUACAUAUGUAUAAACAAGCCUGAGUAUUUGGGUGUACCUAAAUACAAAAUAUUCGGUCAUCAAAUAUUUUAAUAUAUAAAAAAAGGGGGUUUAAUAAUCAUUAACA